UGCCAGCAGCCGCGGUAAUUCCAGCUCCAAUAGCGUAUAUUAAAGUUGCUGCAGUUAAAAAGCUCGUAGUUGGAUCUGGGGCUUGAGGUCGCUGUCUAUCGUUUCGGCGAUGACGGUGAUGCUCAGCUCUGCUUGCCGGUGACUGUUGCGGUGUUCUUCACUGAGCGCUGUAGCAGCACGGCACGUUUACUUUGAAAAAAUUAGAGUGCUCAAAGCGUGCUUGUCGCUUGAAUAAUGUUGCAUGGAGUAAUGGAAUAGGACCUCGGUUCUAUUUUGUUGGUUUUCGGAGCUUGAGGUAAUGAUUAAGAGGGACGAACGGGGGCAUUCGUAUUGCGGUGUUAGAGGUGAAAUUCUUGGAACGCCGCAGGACGGACUACUGCGAAAGCAUUUGCCAAGAACGCUUUCAUUAAUUAAGAACGAAAGUCAGAGGUUCGAAGACGAUCAGACACCGUCCUAGUUCUGACCAUAAACGAUGCCGACCAGCGAUCCGUAGUGGUUGCUUUAUGGACCCUACGGGCAGCCUCCGGGAAACCAAAGUAUUUGGGUUCCGGGGGAAGUAUGGUUGCAAAGCUGAAACUUAAAGGAAUUGACGGAAGGGCACACCAGGAGUGGAGCCUGCGGCUUAAUUUGACCCAACACGGGAAAACUCACCCGGUCCGGACACCGUAAGGAUUGACAGACUGAUAGCUCUUUCUUGAUUCGGUGGAUGGUGGUGCAUGGCCGUUCUUAGUUGGUGGAGUGAUUUGUCUGGUUAAUUCCGAUAACGAACGAGACUCUAGCCUGCUAAGUAGUGUUGCUAUUGUUAUAUGGUUGACACUUCUUAGAGGGACAAGUGGCAUUUAGCCACGCGAAAUUGAGCAAUAACAGGUCUGUGAUGCCCUUAGAUGUCCGGGGCCGCACGCGCGCUACACUGGAGAAGUCAGCGUGUGUUAUCCAAGUCCGAAAGGACUGGGUAAUCCGUUGAACCUUCUUCGUGCUUGGGACUGUGGCUUGGAACUAUUCCACAUGAACGAGGAAUUCCUAGUAAUUGCAAGUCAUAAGCUUGCGUUGAUUACGUCCCUGCCCUUUGUACACACCGCCCGUCGCUACUACCGAUUGAAUGGUUUAGCAAGGUCCUCGGAUCGUGGCCGUAGGGGCACGCAAGUGUUUCUGCGGUUUGCGAGAAGACGACCAAACUUGAUCAUUUAGA
rnacentral:rRNA from 1 species